GACGGAGGGCGCGAGCGUUGUUUGGAAUUACUGGGCGUAAAGCGCGCGCAGGCGGAUGUGGCAAGUCGGGAGUGAAAGCCCGGGGCUCAACCCUGGGACCGCUCUCGAUACUGCUCGUCUAGGGACCGGUAGAGGCCGGUGGAAUUCCCGGUGUAGCGGUGGAAUGCGUAGAGAUCGGGAAGAAUACCUGUGGCGAAGGCGGCCGGCUGGGCCGGGUCCGACGCUGAGGCGCGAAAGCGUGGGGAGCAAACAGG
rnacentral:misc_RNA from 1 species